rnacentral:rRNA from 1 species
CCUACGGGUGGCAGCAGUGGGGAAUAUUGGGCAAUGGGCGCAAGCCUGACCCAGCAACGCCGCGUGAAGGAAGAAGGCUUUCGGGUUGUAAACUUCUUUUCUCAGGGACGAAGCAAGUGACGGUACCUGACGAAUAAGCCACGGCUAACUACGUGCCAGCAGCCGCGGUCAUACGUAGGUGGCAAGCGUUAUCCGGAUUUACUGGGUGUAAAGGGCGUGUAGGCGGGACUGCAAGUCAGAUGUGAAAACCAUGGGCUCAACCUAUGGCCUGCAUUUGAAACUGUAGUUCUUGAGUACUGGAGAGGCAGACGGAAUUCCUAGUGUAGCGGUGAAAUGCGUAGAUAUUAGGAGGAACACCAGUGGCGAAGGCAGCCGCCUGGCCUGUUGCUGACGCUGAGGCACGAAAGCGUGGGGAGCAAAUAGGAUUAGAUACCCGGGUAGUC